rnacentral:rRNA from 1 species
AGAACGAACGCUGGCGGCAUGCCUAAUACAUGCAAGUCGAACGAACUCUUCGGAGUUAGUGGCGCACGGGUGCGUAACGCGUGGGAAUCUGCCCCUUGGUUCGGAAUAACAGUUGGAAACGACUGCUAAUACCGGAUGAUGACGAAAGUCCAAAGAUUUAUCGCCAAGGGAUGAGCCCGCGUAGGAUUAGCUAGUUGGUGAGGUAAAGGCUCACCAAGGCAACGAUCCUUAGCUGGUCUGAGAGGAUGAUCAGCCACACUGGGACUGAGACACGGCCCAGACUCCUACGGGAGCAGCAGUAGGGAAUAUUGGACAAUGGGCGAAAGCCUGAUCCAGCAAUGCCGCGUGAGUGAUGAAGCCUUAGGUGUAAAGCUUCUUUACCCGAGAUGAUAAUGAACAGUAGUCGGAGAAUAAGCCCCGAUAACCUCCGCGCCAGCCAGCCGC